GUCCACGCUGUAAACGAUGGGGACUAGGUGUGGGGGUAUUGACCCUCCCGUGCCGCCGCUAACGCAUUAAGUCCCCCGCCUGGGGAUUACGGCCGCAAGGUUAAAACUCAAAGGAAUUGACGGGGGCCCGCACAAGCGGUGGAGCAUGUGGUUCAAUUCGACGCAACGCGAAGAACCUUACCUGGGCUAGACAACGGCGGACCGCCCCAGAGAUGGGGCUUUCCCUUCGGGGACUGCCGGUUCAGGUGCUGCAUGGCUGUCGU
rnacentral:rRNA from 1 species